rnacentral:lncRNA from 1 species
UGGUGCAUAGUGCACCGUCUAUCGCACGAUGGAUGGUCGUGCGUAGAUGAACGUCCGUUGCACGUGGUUAUGCAUGACUGUCUAUCGCAUGAUGGACGGGGUGCAUUAUGUACAGUACAGUGCGGUGCACAGCAAAGAAUCCGUGUGGAAUAUAUCCUUUGUUUUUCUUCUCUUUGAGAGUUAAAAGGAUGGGGUUGCAGUAGUAUGGUUGGUGUUGUUGUCAAGG